GUGCUCGCUUUAGCAGCACAUAUACUAAAAAAUUGGAACGAUACAGAGAAGAUUAGCAUGGCCCCUGCGCACGAAUGACAUGCAAAUUUGUGAAGUGUUCCAUUAUUUU
rnacentral:snRNA from 1 species